rnacentral:rRNA from 1 species
ACUGAACGCUGGUGGCAGGCUUAACACAUGCAAGUCGAGCGGGGUGAUGGUGCUUGCACUAUCACUUAGCGGCGGACGGGUGAGUAAUGCUUAGGAAUCUGCCUAUUAGUGGGGGACAACAUCUCGAAAGGGAUGCUAAUACCGCAUACGUCCUACGGGAGAAAGCAGGGGAUCACUUGUGACCUUGCGCUAAUAGAUGAGCCUAAGUCGGAUUAGCUAGUUGGUGGGGUAAAGGCCUACCAAGGCGACGAUCUGUAGCGGGUCUGAGAGGAUGAUCCGCCACACUGGGACUGAGACACGGCCCAGACUCCUACGGGAGGCAGCAGUGGGGAAUAUUGGACAAUGGGGGGAACCCUGAUCCAGCCAUGCCGCGUGUGUGAAGAAGGCCUUAUGGUUGUAAAGCACUUUAAGCGAGGAGGAGGCUCUUUUGGUUAAUACCCAAGAUGAGUGGACGUUACUCGCAGAAUAAGCACCGGCUAACUCUGUGCCAGCCGCCGCAGUAA